rnacentral:lncRNA from 1 species
ACGAGCGACGGCUAAAACUUGCAGAAGGUUACUUAGAAUGAUGACCUCUAUAACAUAUGUCAAGGUCAUUGACAUUUGCGGGUGCUGACCAUAAGUGAAUAUUUACCAAAAUUCCUUUCGAAGUAAUCAUCCUCGCUCGUGACAGACUCAACUGAGCACGAACUUUCCUGUUCGGCACCCUCUGGCAUCUAAGCCCGUCGCACAAAGGAGCGCACGGAAAAAUCCUUGCGCGGCCCACCCGGUAUGCAUACACGUGCACAACGAUCACACAGACGAGAAGAAUACGGUGCGGCAAGGUGAAAGAGGGAACGGCGCGGCGCGGGCCCCGGGAAGAAGAAGCGAGUUGGUGGGACGAGAACGGUACGCGCCAUGAAAAAGUGAUGAGAGGGAUGAACAUAGCGGGCGGUAAGAGGGACGAGGGGUGGCAGGGGUGUCCGGGGAAACGAACGGGAGACCUUGCACACCGCGGCGGCUGGUAGGGAACGAUGCUUUGUGUCGGAUGGCAGUCGCGUGAAGGGAAGAGCGGGCCUGCCAAUGGCAGGAGGGGGAAAUCGGGAGAGAAAGAGGGGGAGAAGGGGGCAAGAGGGCCCUCAACCGUCUGCGAACCGCGCGCAUAAAGGCCCUCUCAGACGGCUACUUCCCCGGACGAGGUUCCUCCUGUUGCCCCCUCCCUCUCACCCCUGUCCUCCUGGCCCCCCUUCUCGUUCGCCGGGGGACCACGCGCGGAAACCGGAUUGCGUUUUGCGUUUGAAUGCCGGGGGUAUUUUUCGACGCGAUGUGUGUUACUCGAUACGGGUCCCCCGUUCCUCUCGUGCACUUUCGCCCGCGAGAGUAUUUUUAGCCGCGGACCGCGUAUUUUUGACAACGGAUCCGAGGAGUUUGGACCGAUGCCCCUAUUAGAUGCCUCUCCAGAAUCCGCUAGGAAAUAAACGUUGCGAUUUUCGCGCGGCCGAUCGAAAGGAGACGGUGUCGAAGUUCGAUCGAUGUAUCGAAGGACGCAUUAAUGUAGCUUGACGAAACGAAUUACGACACACGUGGAGGGCGCGGUGACGAAAAAAUAAAAAAAGUUGCGCUAGAACGUGCUUUACUCUCUCUCUCUCUCUCUCUCUCUCUCUCUGAACGCUUCUAGCGUGACAUUACGUAGCCGUUGUUUCAAAAUCUUGGUAUAAUUAAAGUAAUUUUCUGUUUUGUAGUUGUAGUUGAGGAUUGCUCAAUGUCUCACUUUCACAUCCUCAAUUUCUGCCUCAUUUCUGCCUCAUUUCUGCCUCAUUUCUGCCUCAGUUUGGAUAUCGGAAUAGUUUUGAUUUUCAAAUCAAUUUUUUACAUAUCGACAGAUAUACAUCAGAAUUAAUUCCGAAGACGUGCCAAUGAUAUAUGAUGAAUACGUUAUGAUUGCAUUUCAAUUCUGCAAGUUACAGCACGUACGCGACGUAUGUAGUGCACACCUGCGAACUGGAAAGCAAAUCGUAACGGUGGGAGCGCGUCAAACGAAGCUCGACGUCGGCGACGACGAAAUCGCCGUGGUACCUUGCGAAAAGCAAAUGACAACGUCAAUUUCUCCCUGCGCUCGAGCAUCAGGCAUUUAACGUCAGUCUCAUUCCGAAGGUGCGAUAUUGACGUAACAUGUGACGGAACGGCUGGCAUCACGCCGGACAAAGGAAGCGCUGGAUCGUGCGGCCCUGCAUAUUUGCAUGGGAACGUACCCACAGGAUCCCGCUCGCGCACAAAGGACGAGAGCGAGCCACCUUUUGCGCGCGCGCAUACUCGCGCGAGCGAUUGCACAUUCGUGCUCGCGCGCUCGCCCGUGUAUGUACCGCGGCCCGUAUGGACCGUGAAUGUAUACGUGUAUGUGUUCCUUUUGCAUCAGCGGGAGGUACGUGCCAGGAAGAGAAAAAGAGGAAGAAAUAGAGAGAGAAAGAGAGAGAAUGAGAGAAAGAAAGGAAGGGAGAAAGAGAGAUAGAGAGUCUCAGGGUUACGUUAAAAAAAAUGUAGGCUCAAGGAUACCGCCGGCAGAGGAUGCGCCGUUUUCUCGUGGGGUAGAAUCGUUACUUUCCAUUUCGCGAGGGUUGCGCGAACCCUUCCCGCCCGAGAAACGGGCAGGGACACCGCCGACUUCCUCGUUCGGGUCUGUUCUCGGCUCGGGGCAGAUUUAACAUCGGGAAUAGAGGGUACCGGAUCAAGGUACGGGGACAGGAGUGUUUUAUGGGUCGCAGAUUUAUCCUGAUAAAGUCAGCUGGUUACGAACCUGCUCGCGCAGGAGUAGAUUCCAGAUACUGAGUUACACGGAGUUGCAACAGUCCAAGUUAACGAAUCCUGAGUCAGCCGUUCCCGCGGAUUUAAUCAUAUUAGUGUCGGUUAGCAUAACUCGAUUCCACGUUUCUGCUUGGUUUGCAUCUGUUGUGCCAUAAUUUACGAAAAAGAAGAAAAAUAGCUCGAGCCGUCAAAUCUGUUUCAAUUUAUUGCAAUGUCUUCGAUGUGAAGAGUUGAUUUGAAAUGUAAUUGAAAGUUUAUCUGUUUGAAAUAUAACAGGAUUGAUCUUGCUGAAUUCCGAUAUGAAGCUUCUUUACUUUCUACUUGCAUCGCUUUUUUUCAAGCUUCUAAGCAUCUAAGCGGAAAACAUAUUGCUCAUCGAUUCGUCGUACAUAAUUAUUAAUGACCCACUUAUCUAGGCACGCUUAUCAUGCAUCGCCAUCAUCAGAGAUAAUCAUGCAAUUUCAUAUUUGUUAUAUACAGUCAUAUGUGAUUGUAAUGUACUUGUUUCCUGCUAUAUAAUCUAUACCCGUUUAUGCUAUAUGUAUGCAUAUAUCUUUGACGAUUAUUAUUUUCUAAGGUUGAAGUUAAUUUCAUCAAAUGGCGAGUAAAUUAAAACGUUUGUUUUAGAACUGUCGUGAUCGUUUGGAAAGAAAGCUACUAACAAUUUAAUCUUUUUAAUGGCGCAGAGCGAUUAUUUUAAAUUGCUUGCUAUUUUAUCGAGUCGCCCACGAUAUCACGUUAUGCCCUCAAGGUUAACAUCGCCCAACACUUUUCAUUCCC